GCUCAGGGUUUCUAGCUAAUGAUUGACGUGGGCACAAUUGCCAGGAAGGGGCCUUUUGUGUGUCUUGAGGGGAGCCAGGGAACAAGGAGCGUGCCAUGGCCCCUCUGCUCCCGGGUUUGCCCCAGCAUGCUGCAGCUCUCAUUUGCCCCGUGGCUGGUGACACGCAAUUCAGUCUUCCUCCUCCUCUGCAGUUUUAACUGAGCUCUGAACUGAUAGCCGAAGCCCUCAUUAUUUAACCUCACAAUGUGGUUUUGUGCUCCUCACCACUGCAUUUCAUCUCAGCUUGAGCCCAGGCAAUCACAGCCUAGAAGGUCACCCCAUUCUCUGUGGGAGAAAUCCUGCUCUUCUGCUGUUCAAAAAAAAACCAACAGCAGCAAUCUGCUCUGUGUGUCUGCUUUUUGUGCAUUAAUGCAAGGAACAAAAAUAUGAAGUUUGGUCCUCAGAUCCACCUUUCUGCCUGUUCUCUGGUAACUCCAGAGGUAUCCCACCUGCUCCUUUGUGGUACACUUCCACAUACCCCAUAACCUCAUCCUGACCUCCCUUGCCAAGCCUAGGUGACACCACCCCACAGGGCAACAGGUCAAAUGUUUUUGCUGCCUGGGUAGACUAGAUCUACUGUAUUUCCUUUAUCUAGGAAGUCAGCCAACUUUGAAAAGAUUGAUAUUAGCCCAUGCGUGAUUACCUUCCAAGCAAGUUUACUGUGCACAUUAAUCAUUCCUUUGUACUUCACGUCUUCAAUUUUCUUCAAACAUCUCCCGAAGGGUUUGCCCAGUACUAAAGUAGCAUAGCUUGGAUGGGUCCUAAAUGAGUUUUUCUCCUUAAGUAGAUUUUUGUAAAUUGUAAAAAAAAACAAAACAGUUUUCUCAAUCAGAAUCCUAACUUUGCCAAGUUUUAAUCUUUCAUAUUCUGUACUCACUAAUCAAAACCCCUAUUUGCAGAUCUACUUUCAGUGUGAUUUAAACAGAGUGAGCUCAGGUUGAAUCAUACCACGUUUAUUUUCUAAAAGAAGUACAUCUCCAACACCCCUCGCACUUGAAAAGCAAACUAACAAUAACAUGAUUUUUGGGAUUACUUAAUGGAAAACUCUAUUUGCUCUCACAUCCAGUAGCUCUGCUAAUAUUAGUACUUUGCAGUAUGCAUCCACAGAGUUAAAAUCUCCCCAGAUAUCAACAUUUCCAACUAGAGAGGUCUCUAUUCACAUACUGUGUCUGAUAUUCAGCUCUGAUAUCUCCUGCGUUGUUCCUUAUCUCAAUAUCAUCAAAUGUCAAGGACUUCAAACCUUUGGAUCAACAUAGCUCUCAACUACAAGGACCUCUAUUCAUUCUGAUUACAAUAUCCAUCUCUCUGUGCCUAUUGCAGCCAAGACUAUCAUCAAUUAGUGCUUCCUGGCAGAGGAAAAUGUGUCUUGACAGCUUAAUUGCCAGACUCUGUAAAACCUGUCAUGGUCAAGAAAAUUCCUGCCAAUGUCCACAAAGAUGACACCUGAAUCUUAUCAGCAAGGAGACAGUAUUUGCAAACUAAAUCUGCAGUUAAGAUAGAUUGACUCAGCAUGUUCUAUCAAGAUCACAGCAAUUGUCUUCCAGCUAAGUUAUUAAAUUCAAGGAAUGUUUGCUAUAGGAUACAGAUUAAAGGAACAGAACAGCAAACACCUGUCAGUAAUGUAGGGAAGGAACUGACAUCUAGAAAAUAUCGCUGCAGCUGUAGCUAUGCCUUUGCUAAGACAAACAGCACUGGUCUUGGGGUCUCUGCAUAACGCACAAGCAGCCCCAUGCUGCAGCCCUGCAGGCAAGCUGGCUGCUCUGUGCAAUUAGGAAUUAGGAAGAGCUUUUUCCAUCAGCUGUCUGUCCAUCUCAUCCUCUUUGCUCAUUUUCACUUUGCCAGCAGCGUUAGCCUGUGCUAACACCACAGUGUUUCUUUCCGGCCCUUCAGCAUCAAGGUAAACUGUGAAUUUUCAUGAGGUUUUGUAUCUUGCAGUUGGUUGUAUUGACAUCUUACUGCCUUCAGUGACCUACUCAAAAAGAGUCUCAUACCUUCAUGCUGGGGAAGUACUGUAGACCUCUUCCAGCUCUUUGUCAUGUACUGCAGUCCUGGUUGGAGGGCUGCUUAGCAAGAAGUCUCCUGCAGAGGGCUGAAGAAGGGCAGGUCCCAAAUCUUGGACAAGAGCUCUGUGUAUCAGGGAGACUUGUAGGGCAGGGAAAUGUACCAAAAGGUACUAAAUAGGAGCCCUAAAAACCUGAGAGAAAAGCCUGUUCAUCAGACUCCAAGUAUAAAUCAGAUGGGUCACAGAACUGAACCUGUGAUAAUCCAGGGAGAUAAGGCUGAAACCCUCAGGGAUCCGUAUGCUGUGGUUGCUUGGAAGGGUUCAGCAUCCUAGGGAUGUAUGGACAGCCACGAGACAGCUCUGCAGCAGACACAAAGGGUCCUCCUACACAAACAGUGCAAGGCUCCUGCAGAAGCAGUACCACAGCAUCACGCUGUCAUACAAUCAUCGCUUUCCACAUCGCCCUGCAGCAUGCACAGACUGCUGCUGUGUUGGCCAUGGGAGUUGGUGGGCAGAGCUGCUAGACUACAGGGAUUGGGAAAUAGCAAGGGAGUACAAGGUCUGCAAAGGGUUUUGCCAGAAUCAACAGUCCUCAGAGCACCAUUUGCAUGCCCCUAAGGAUUGCAUAAGUACCUGACACCUUUUAUGCAAAAAAGCAGGAGGCUCAAGGCCCCUGCAGGGAGCAGUUGAGCUCAAAACCCAGCUGUGCUUGGGAGAAGUUGAAGAAACGCUGUGAGAAGCAGAAGAUUUGUGAGAGGCCUGGAGGCUGCCAAUUCGUAACACCAGUCCUGCAAAGCCUUAGAAAACACUGUGAGCCACAUGGGGUCAGUGGGUCUUGGCAGAAGAAACACCUGUAAUAAAGCGCAAUUUACAGCAAACUGAAGACUUCCCAGAGUGCUGAUACCUUUCCAGAUUCAUACAGGACUGCUAUGGUCUCUUUACAGUGUUAAAGGGCACCACAAAGAGAACCCCAUGGAAAUAACACAUUGCAUCGCUCACACGGAGCCCUACCUGGAGGUCAGCUGCAGGUCAGCUGCUUACAGCACUGCUGGGGACAGACAUCGCCUGCAAGCCACCGGAUAAACUGCAAAAAGAGGCCCAACAAGAGGAAGGAAUGAUGGAAGGCAGCAGUGGGUAAACCUGCUAAAAGGAAGGAGUUAGCAUUGCUACCUAUGGUAGGCUCACUAACUACUGCACAGGCAGCUUUAGCAAGUCACUGUUGUGUGCCUUCUUAGCAGUUUUGUAAUCUGAUUAAUAAACCCUUAUGCCAGCUAUGAUUUCUGUGGAUAAUUUCUGCUGGUAGCAGGAGAAAUUCAGAAGGUGCUCAAAUCCAGCAAAAGAGGCUACUAGGGCACCCUCCUCAUCAGUCCAUUGGUUUUGGAGGACAAUUAAUGCAGGUUUUAUGGGUGAUUAUUUCAAAAUCUAAAUGCUCGAAAUCACUACAAGUUAUAAUAGCGCUCUCAAGUGCGCCGAUUUUCAUUUGCAAGAACUUAUUUUAAGCCUCAAAUUGCGUACUGCUUUUACAAAAAUCACGUAGAGGUCCUUGCACACAAUUUUAGCUGGAAUCAGCGAGCAGACAUCAUUAGUGAACAUUUUUACCAUCUGAUAUUCAUCCUCCUCAGAAGGUAUAAAUAACAUUCAAGGAUUCACCCGCUCAAAGGCAGAGGAAUCUUGCAUCCCUAAAAACAGCUAAAUUGGACCCAACUGGUGACUUCUGCCAUGCAUAACUGUGAGGUGGGAUUUUCCAUAGAAAUAAGCAGCAAUAACGUAUUUCUAAACCACAGUGUUUGCACACAUUAAAAAAAAAUCAGCACACAAAAUAUUAAUCUUGUGUCAAAGCCUGCUGAUAAUCAAACCGUAGACAGAUAAAUGUGAUACAUGCGGAAGUACUUUAUGAGAGUAAAAAUCGAUUUUCAUUAGCUGCAUUAAGAAAAAAAAGAUCGCGAUAACUUAAUUGAAAAGAAAAAAAAUCAAUAUCUGUGGAGGGAGCCAAAUUAAUUGGCAUUGAAUGAAAUUCUGCCAAAACCUGAAAGUCACUCCGGCCUUAUCUACAACAGAGAGUAUUUGCAGAUCAGGUCACAACUAAAGUGGACUCAAACACUGUACGUUCACUCAAGGUCUUCUGGAAAUGUCCUGCAAUAAAGUUUAUACAAAUAAGAACAUAUUUGCUUUAAGUAACAGCCAUAAACGAAAGAACAGGAAAUACACACGGCCCAUCGGGUAUUGGCUGGAAGAGGCCAUGACUGCAACAGUUAAACGUCCUGCACUCCAGGAUUGGUGCGUAGGAACAGGAUUCCAUCUGUGGGCUCUCUAAUGCAAACUAAUUAAAAUCUCCAAACAACUCUCUGAGAGACCCAAGAGCUGUAACAUCUUGGUAAAACACAAAAUGGUGAGGAAUCCCAGCCCAGGCACAACUGAGGGAAUCCUGUCUUGUUUUCAGUUGCCAUGGUACACCCAAUCUUGUCUGUCUCCUGCAGCGUGAGCACAGCCACCAACAGGUUUGGAAUGGGAGUAAACGUCAGUGUUUCCCUGGGGAUGAAUAUUCAGUUUCUCAGCAGUCCAUGCCAACACUGAGGUCAGUCCCAUAUACCCAAGACACACAAAUUAGGACACCCUGGCUCCAAAUCAAAGCUCUGGAUGCUGCUGAGCUGCCAUGAGUGGGAAGACAAAGCACCACUGACAAAUCUUUGACUCAUCUACUAUAGGAGAAUCACACAAGAUUCAAGACCUUUCCCAAAAGAAUGCCACUUAGGGAAUAUAUUUCCUUCCCAACCAAAUCCCUGGAUAUCAUUCGGGAAAAUAGGUCCUUAUGAUUUAUACAAUUGCAGUCUUUUUUGGCCUCACCAAAAUCCCAGGAGAAAAGCCACGUGUUUUCCCAGACAUGUCACUCUCCUACCAUACAGUCUGGAUAAAACAUGGAAAUUAUGUCUCAAAAUGACUUAAAUCUGAGUCUGAAGUGUGCUUACACAUGUAGACUACAUGCACCCUGCUAACAGGGCUCUGAUGAUCCCACCAUAGAUACAGGAUCCAGGCUGGGACUCCAGCACACGCCCAGAACAAAAAACAGGAUGCC